UUUUGCUCAACUACAUGUUAGGUAAAAGAUUUCAAGACCCAACUCCAGAGCCACUUUAGAAAUGUUUUUUUCCGAAGGAGGAGACAGAGCACACGCGGAGCUGCGAGGGAAUCGGGGACCCCGCACCCCGCAGGCGCACGGUGGGCUCUCCUGCCUCGGAUGAAACACACAGGUCCCUGCUCUCUCCCGGACCUGCAGUCCCGCGCACAGAACACAGCACUUCCCGGGACAGCGCCUCGAAACUUCGUGAUCGGUUUUGCUCGGGGCUGAACAGCACGGGCAUUUGUGAAGUUCAAGUUUUUAGAAAAGCCAGCAGAGGCGAGGUCUCCACCGACGCAGAUCCAAGCGCGUCCAGGGUGGCCAGGGGUGGCCGCGCCCCAGAGGACGGGGACCCGCGCAGAGGGAAAGAAACGAGCCGGGCAAGAAGAUGAAAACCACAGCGAGGAGGUGUAUUGACGAGUUGUGGGGCACUUUGUUAGUGGCCAGUUAUUUCUUCAAGGACUGGGCACCAUGGGGACCAGUCCAGUGUUGCACCUCCAGCCUGAGUAGCAGUAAGAACUACUCACUUCAUCGCAUGCCCUUAUUUUACAGACUAGAGGCCCAAUGCACAAAAUUCGUGUAAGGGGCUUGGCCCUCCCAGCCAUGGCGGCUUGCCUCGGUCCUCAUCCUCGCAGGCCCAGCUUCAUCCAGAAGGACGUCUGGAAGGUCGUUUGGCUGUCCAAUCUAAUUAGCAUAUUACCCUCUUAUUGUUAUAGAUGAGCAAACAGAGGCCUGGAGAGUUUUUACCCAGGUCAAUCGGUUUGUUGAUGAUAGAACUCAUUCGGAGCUAAAUGUCCCUGACCUUCUCUCUGGUGUUUGUUUUCUGCAGCAAGAGACUGAUUCUGCCUUAAGGUAGAGCGGCCUGCAUGGCUACACCCACUGAUUGGCUGUCUCGGGAGGAAGCUGGCUUCCUCACCUACCUGUUGUCCUGUCCGGGAGCUUCUGUCCCAGCUUCCGCUCUGGGCCAAGGCAGCUGCUGGGGAGGCUCUACUCCAGAACUCACGUGCUGCCUGGAGCUGAUGCCAACUGGUGGCUCACCUUGUGAAUUCGUUUCCUAAAGCUGACAGGACAGAAUCUUUAAGCUCACGGGGUUGGUAAGCCACAAACAGGCAGACAGUUUUUCUGAACUACAAAUUUUCCAAACUCCCGGAAUCACCAUAUUUCUCCACUGGCAUAGAGGAAGAGGAUGAUGAAGAAUUAAGCCUUCAUUGUUCGUGCCAAGAAACCCAGAUUAUUAUGAGAACUAGGUAAAAGGCCGCACUUUUUCUUGGAUUAUCUCGAGACAAUUGCCUGAACAUUUCCUGCUUACUUUUCCUGUUUGAACCUGGCUUUUGAGAUUAACAUGAGUUGAUCUGGUUUUCUGUGAUUCAGAAAUGCACAGAACUUGGCAGGCAAAGAAGUACAAAGAGAGGAAGAAAAGGAAAGGGGAACAGGGCAGGGAGUGGAGGAAGAUGGGCAGAACCUGAGAAGGCUUUAUAAAGUAAUAGAAUACAUCCCUUACCUUCAGGGAACAAAGGAGCAAAGCUGAUGGGAGGCAACAGACAUUCUCCUUCCCAAACCAUGAAAGCAAAAACACUCUACACCCCUCACUCCAAGGAGUGGCUCCGACCUCUUACUGGAAUCUCUGCAAUAAAAGAAAUUUUUUCUC